AGAAAUUCCAAUCGAACCUGGAGAUAGCUGGUUCUCUCCGAAAUAGCUUUAGGGCUAGCCUCAAGUGAUGAUUAUUGGAGGUAGAGCACUGUUUGGACGAGGGGCCCCUCUCGGGUUACCGAAUUCAGACAAACUCCGAAUGCCAAUUAAUUUAACUUGGGAGUCAGAACAUGGGUGAUAAGGUCCGUGUUCGAAAGGGAAACAGCCCAGACCACCAGCUAAGGUCCCAAAAUAUAUGUUAAGUGGAAAAGGAUGUGGCGUUGCCCAGACAACUAGGAUGUUGGCUUAGAAGCAGCCAUCAUUUAAAGAGUGCGUAAUAGCUCACUAGUCGAGUGACACUGCGCCGAAAAUGUACCGGGGCUAAACAUAUUACCGAAGCUGUGGAUUGUCCUUUGGACAAUGGUAGGAGAGCGUUCUAAGG
rnacentral:rRNA from 1 species